rnacentral:rRNA from 1 species
GAUGAACGCUAGCGGGAGGCCUAACACAUGCAAGCCGAGCGGUAUUUGUUCUUCGGAACAGAGAGAGCGGCGCACGGGUGCGGAACACGUGUGCAACCUGCCUUUAUCUGGGGGAUAGCCUUUCGAAAGGAAGAUUAAUACCCCAUAAUAUAUUGAGUGGCAUCAUUUGAUAUUGAAAACUCCGGUGGAUAGAGAUGGGCACGCGCAAGAUUAGAUAGUUGGUGAGGUAACGGCUCACCAAGUCAAUGAUCUUCAGGGGGCCUGAGAGGGUGAUCCCCCACACUGGUACUGAGACACGGACCAGACUCCUACGGGAGGCAGCAGUGAGGAAUAUUGGACAAUGGGUUAGCGCCUGAUCCAGCCAUCCCGCGUGAAGGACGACGGCCCUAUGGGUUGUAAACUUCUUUUGUAUAGGGAUAAACCUACUCUCGUGAGAGUAGCUGAAGGUACUAUACGAAUAAGCACCGGCUAACUCCGUG